GGCCUGGCGGGACGGUCCGCCUUACGGUGUGCACUGUCCGGCCGGGUCUUACCUCUUGGUGAGGCCGUAUGCCCUUUACCGGGUGUGCGGUGGAACCAGGAAUUUUACCUUGAGAAAAUUAGAGUGUUCAAAGCAGGCAUAUGCCCGAAUACAUUAGCAUGGAAUAAUAGAAUAGGACGU
rnacentral:rRNA from 1 species